rnacentral:rRNA from 1 species
UACGGGGGGAGCAAGCGUUGUUCGGAUUUACUGGGCGUAAAGAGCGCGCAGGCGGUCGUUCAAGUCGCGUGUGAAAGCCCCCGGCUCAACUGGGGAGGGUCACGCGAUACUGAUCGACUCGAAGGCAGGAGAGGGUAGUGGAAUUCCCGGUGUAGUGGUGAAAUGCGUAGAUAUCGGGAGGAACACCAGUGGCGAAGGCGACUACCUGGCCUGUUUUUGACGCUGAGGCGCGAAAGCUAGGGGAGCAAACGGG